rnacentral:rRNA from 1 species
UCCUACGGGGCGCAGCAGUGGGGAAUAUUGCACAAUGGGCGCAAGCCUGAUGCAGCCAUGCCGCGUGUGUGAAGAAGGCCUUCGGGUUGUAAAGCACUUUCAGCGAGGAGGAAGGCAGUCGUGUUAAUAGCACGGUUGAUUGACGUUACUCGCAGAAGAAGCACCGGCUAACUCCGUGCCAGCAGCCGCGGUAAUACGGAGGGUGCAAGCGUUAAUCGGAAUUACUGGGCGUAAAGCGCACGCAGGCGGUUUGUUAAGUCAGAUGUGAAAUCCCCGCGCUUAACGUGGGAACUGCAUUUGAAACUGGCAAGCUAGAGUCUUGUAGAGGGGGGUAGAAUUCCAGGUGUAGCGGUGAAAUGCGUAGAGAUCUGGAGGAAUACCGGUGGCGAAGGCGGCCCCCUGGACAAAGACUGACGCUCAGGUGCGAAAGCGUGGGGAGCAAACAGGAUUAGAUACCCCGGUAGC